AUUCCCAGGUCCUCAGAGGAACAUGUAAAUCCUUCAGAGAUUAAGAAACAACCUUUCCAGCUUCAAUCUUCACUGCAGAACUAUCAGUAUAUUGAAAAUCCCCAGUGCAAGCUUUUAGAAGGGAGGGAGACUUAUGUAAAAAGUGAGAAGGUUCUAUUUUUGUACUCAGGAACCGUAAUAGGCUCUUACUCCAAUAUCUCCUAAGAAGUUCCUGCAGAUAGUAUUUUGUUUGAACCUCUCACAAACAUGAAUUCACAGCAGGUCUGUCUAUUACUGUUGUUCAGGCAACUGAAAGGUUAUGCAACACUGGUUCUCAAAAAGUGAGAGAUUUCUAACAAUGCACACAAGAAAGAUUUCUUUCAGUCUAAGUUGCUAGUGGAUGAAAACCUGCCUGGUGUGUUCUUUGGUGGUGAUUAAUAAAUUCUCAGAAGCAAUGCUUCUAAGGAAAAUAAAUUUUAGCCAAUGGGGAGCUGAAGAUAAACAGACUGAAAGAAGGUAUUUUCUGAAGCUUAAUAGAAACUUACAACAGGAUUAACAAUGAAUUGAAAAGGGGGCAGCUACAAAGCAGUUCUUGCAGGAGUUUCAGGGAUGGUGUUGAUUUACUGCGUAUUUUGGAGGCCUCACACAUGAUGCUGAGACAUACAAAACACCAGAGAAAGAAUCUCAGAAGUCUUUGAGGGAUUGAAGUGUCCAAAUUUCCAUUAACCAGGAAAAAAAUGGGAAACGCAAACCCCAGUGGUAGCUUCCUAAUCUCAAAAAGAAUGCAUCUUUCCCUGACCAAUUAGGGACAUGUGCAUUUUUCUCUGAGGAGGAAGAGCUUUAGAUGGCAUUUUUAUACUUCUGGAGAAGCCAAUGUUGUUCUACUGUGUUCUUAACUUUCUUCAAAGUGAAGAUAAUUAUAAAAAGGUCAAUGUCUGAAGGUCAAGCAAAAGGAACAAAGUGAAACAAAUACCAGUAAAAUGAGAGGAAAAAUCUUCUCCUCUUGUUUGGCAAAGCUUGGACUAGAAAUGGCCCCUCUGGCAAAGAUUUCUUGGGACCUAAAGUCAACUAGUGAUGCCCACAGUCUAUGAACAAUGUAUAUUCUGUUCAUAGGCCCAUAGUCAGUGCCUAGCCAGUCCAGCUAGGUAUUUGGUUAUUUGAAGUUUCACAGCCUUUUUUGUAUUUAUCAUUUGGAUCCUGACAGCCUUAGAGGAGCUGUUUCCUUCCAGCAGAGAAUUGUUGCAGACAACAUGGACCUCUGGUUGAAGGAGAUGAUGGCUGCUAGCUUGGUGCAUUUGAACACAUCAGGAGAUGUGUUUCUACUGUUAACACCAGCAAGCAGAAUAACUCCUGUAACAGAAAUUAUGGCUUUCCUCUCUCAGUUUAAUGCCGUUCUCCUCAAGUGGAAGCUAUCCAGUUGUUGUAUCAACCAUUGAUGUUAAGCUGUGUUUCCUUGGGUUUGUCAUGGAUCUCAG
ensembl:lncRNA